CCUACGGGAGGCAGCAGUGGGGAAUUUUGGACAAUGGGCGCAAGCCUGAUCCAGCAAUGCCGCGUGCAGGAUGAAGGCCUUCGGGUUGUAAACUGCUUUUGUACGGAACGAAACGGCUCUUUCUAAUAAAGAGAGCUAAUGACGGUACCGUAAGAAUAAGCACCGGCUAACUACGUGCCAGCAGCCGCGGUAAUACGUAGGGUGCGAGCGUUAAUCGGAAUUACUGGGCGUAAAGCGUGCGCAGGCGGUUAUAUAAGACAGAUGUGAAAUCCCCGGGCUCAACCUGGGACCUGCAUUUGUGACUGUAUAGCUAGAGUACGGUAGAGGGGGAUGGAAUUCCGCGUGUAGCAGUGAAAUGCGUAGAUAUGCGGAGGAACACCGAUGGCGAAGGCAAUCCCCUGGACCUGUACUGACGCUCAUGCACGAAAGCGUGGGGAGCAAACAGGAUUAGAUACCCUGGUAGUCCACGCCCUAAACGAUGUCAACUGGUUGUUGGGUCUUCACUGACUCAGUAACGAAGCUAACGCGUGAAGUUGACCGCCUGGGGGAGGUACGGCCGCGAGGUUAGUAAACGUACGAAGUAGAAGUUAGUACGGCGUGAGACGUUACGCCGACGGACGACGACCGAGGGGAGGAGGG
rnacentral:rRNA from 1 species